ACUCAAAUGAAUUGACGGGGACCCGCACAAGCGGUGGAGUAUGUGGUUUAAUUCGAAGCAACGCGCAGAACCUUACCAGCUUUUGACAUGGGAAGUAUGAGGGGUAGAGAUACCUUUCUUCAGUUCGGCUGGCUUCCACACAGGUGCUGCAUGGCUGUCGUCAGCUCGUGUCGUGAGAUGUUGGGUUAAGUCCCGCAACGAGCGCAACCCUUAUUGCUAGUUGCCAUCAGGUUUGGCUGGGCACUUUAGCGAAACUGCCGGUGAUAAGCCGGAGGAAGGUAGGGAUGACGUCAAGUCCUCAUGGCCCUUAUAGGCUGGGCUACACACGUACUACAAUGGCGGUGACAGAAGGCAGCGACGGAGAAAUCCUGAGCGAAUCCCUAAAAACCGCCUCAGUUCGGAUUGUCCUCUGCAACUCGAGGGCAUGAAGUCGGAAUCGCUAGUAAUCGUAGAUCAGCAUGCUACGGUGAAUACGUUCCCGGGUCUUGUACACACCGCCCGU
rnacentral:rRNA from 1 species